AGAGUUCACAUUUUUUUCCUGACCAUCAGUCAGUGUGUGAUGUUUUCAUGAGGAAUCUGGAUGAACUUGGCUGGAAAGACUGGGAGGAGCCCUGUGGACUCCAGCAAGCAGAAUGUGCAGCAGGUAGUGAGUGCCGCUCAGGAGACUGUCGUCCAAGUAAACUGCAGAGGAAAUUAUUUCUUAGUUCUGUACAAAAGGAGGCUCUUGGCUCAGUGUGCCUGCAUUCCAAAGCUGAGGAGAGAAGAAAGUGAUUAGUUUUGGAAUGCUGGAUUCACUGUGGUUUGCAGCUCUGGGGUGCUGUGCAGCAGCAGGUGACAAGAAAAACAGAAAGUGAGCAUUCAGAACUGGAGUCUACAGAAAAGCAAACAUCAGGAUUCAGAGACUUGGAGACAGGGUUUCUCUGUGUAGCUUUGGAGCCUAUCCUAGCACUCGCUCUGGAGACCAGGGUGGCCUCGAACUCACAGAGAUCCACCUGCCUCUGCCUCCCAAGUGCUGGGAUUAAAGGCAUGCACCACCACCGCCCUACAGGAAUCUUACUUUUAUAAGAAUAUAUACAAAGAUGCUGACAGGAGCUAGACAAAGAAUAGCCCUCAUCCAGUGGCUAAUGGAAACAGAGUCAGACACCCACAGCUAUACACUGAACUGAACUCUGGAAUCCAGUUGCAGAGAGGGAGGAAUGAAGAUAAAAGCAGUUGGGACCAGGCUGGUGAAUCCCACAGAAACAACUGGCUUGAACAAGGGAGAACACAAGGACCCCAGACUGCUGUCUGGGAGGCCAGCAAGGGACUGUUCCAGACACCUGAACAUGGGUGUUAAUGAGGAGGCCUCAGCACUCUAUGGACCCCCUGGUAGUGGAUCAGUAUUUUUCCCUGGUGUAAGAAGGGACUUUGAGAGCCCAUCCCACGUGAAGGGAUAUUCUAGGCCUGAACCCAUCCUAGGCCCUCUCCAAGAUGAUGUGGUGCACUUUGGGAUCCCCCAUGGAGGGCCCUACCCUCCCUGGGAAUUGGAGCAGGGGUGGUAUGGGGGGCUGGUCGGG
rnacentral:lncRNA from 1 species